CCUACGGGAGGCUGCAGUGAGGAAUAUUGGUCAAUGGGCGAGAGCCUGAACCAGCCAAGUCGCGUGAGGGAGUACUGCCCUAUGGGUUGUAAACCUCUUUUGUCGGGGAGCAAAAGCCGGACGUGUCCGGCUGUGAGAGUACCCGAAGAAAAAGCAUCGGCUAACUCCGUGCCAGCAGCCGCGGUAAUACGGAGGAUGCGAGCGUUAUCCGGUUUUAUUGGGUUUAAAGGGUGCGCAGGCGGAUUUUUAAGUCAGCGGUAAAAUCGUGGGGCUCAACCCCAUCCAGCCGUUGAAACUGGGGAUCUAGAGUGUGCGAGAGGUAUGCGGAAUGCGUGGUGUAGCGGUGAAAUGCAUAGAUAUCACGCAGAACCCCGAUUGCGAAGGCAGCAUACCGGUGCACAACUGACGCUCAGGCACGAAAGCGUGUGUAUCGAACAGGAUUAGAUACCCCAGUAGUC
rnacentral:rRNA from 1 species